rnacentral:rRNA from 1 species
UACGGAGGGUGCAAGCGUUAGUCGGAAUUACUGGGCGUAAAGGGUGCGUAGGCGGGGACGUAAGUCAGAUGUGAAAAACUGGAGCUUAACUCCAGCCCUGCAUCUGAAACUGCGUUUCUUGAGGAAGAGCGGAGAAAACGGAAUUCCACGUGUAGCGGUGAAAUGCGUAGAUAUGUGGAAGAACACCUGUGGCGAAAGCGGUUUUCUAGCUUACUCCUGACGCUGAGGCACGAAAGCAAGGGGAUCAAAC